rnacentral:rRNA from 1 species
UACGGAGGAUGCGAGCGUUAUCCGGAUUUAUUGGGUUUAAAGGGUGCGCAGGCGGCCUGUUAAGUCAGCGGUAAAAGCCCGGGGCUCAACCCCGUCGUGCCGUUGAAACUGAUGUUCUUGAGUGGGCGAGAAGUAUGCGGAAUGCGUGGUGUAGCGGUGAAAUGCUUAGAUAUCACGAAGAACUCCGAUUGCGAAGGCAGCUCACUGGACUGCAACUGACACUGAGGCACGAAAGCGUGGGUAUCGAACAGG